ensembl:antisense Gm12200 predicted gene 12200
ACUUGGUGCCCAGACAGAGGAAUCCCACCACUCUGCUGCCCCAAGGGGUCAUCCACGCAAAUUAGAACACAUCUCUCCCCCCUCUAGGGCUCAGGAAGAGCAGGAACUACUUACUUACUACACUGCUGAGAAAAGGGAGAGGGACGCUUGCCACAGUGCUCAUGUGGAGGUCAGAGGACAACCUCAGGGUUCAGUCCUUGUUGCAGGUGUCAUUCACUGCUGCUUACACCGGGCUAGUCCAUGGGCUUCCGGGGAGUCUCCUGUCUCUGCGGUCCACCUCCCCAUAGGAAUACGGGGAAUGCACGUCUCUUCUUGCUGGGGAUUUUCAGGGGCUUAUGGUUAGGCCUUACCUCCUGGGCGGCAGCGGCCCCACAGAACACACACUGUGGAGCCAAUCUGGGCGAGGUCGUCUGCAGGAAGAUGCAUAAUGAGGGCACGGCAAAAGGCCCUAUUUGGCAGCAGGCGGGUUCUUUGGAGGCUCUGGAAGCAGAGAGAAGGCUCAGCCCCACGGGGGCCAUCAGCACAGAGUCCCACUGACCCACAGAAAAGCCACCUCCAGCCUAGGUUUAUUCUAAAGCCCCAGCUUCUGAAGUGUUCAUGUGUCCUCCAAGAACAUUGCUGCUGUGCUUCAUGUUCCUGCUGCUAUGCCUUCUCUGCAGUGACAGGCUGUGACAUGGACUUGUGAGGCAAAUAUGCUCUUUCUCCAUUAACUUGCUUUUUUGGGCUGCCCUGUAGGUGUGAACAAGGCUUCUGUCGGACAGAUGUAGAAACAAGCCUAGCAGACACCGAGGGGACAGCAGUGCAGGGCGGCCCUGUCUGACUUCCAGCAGCAGUACUGAACUCAGAGGCUGACAGGUCACUCUGAGGCCGCAACUGUCUUGGGCCCCAGUGGACGACAGGCAGCUACAGGCAUCAGCGCCUCUGGCUUUGGUUUGGACGUUGUUUCAGAACCAAAUUGCAGUGACCCAGGGGCACAGUCAGCCCCACCUGAUCUUAGCCAGAGUGAAAACGAGGUUGGCACUGUGGCACAGACACGAGAAGCAGAGACGUGCUUUUAUGAAUGGCUGUAUUGCAUGACCCGUGGACAGGCCUUUUUGAUGUCUUGGAAUCAUUAGUAUCACUGGAAGUCAUUCAUUCAUCAUCCAUUCAUUCAUCACUCAUUCAUUCAUUUGCUUGCUUAUAGACAGGGUACCAUGUAGUCCAAGGUGGCCUCAAGCUUUGUUGGAUGCCGAGGAUGACCUAGAACUUCUGAGCUCGGUGACCCAUUCACCAGAGUGCUGGCACUGUAGCUGUGAAUGGCUGGGGAGCAGACUCGGGACCUGAUGCCUGUUAGGCAAGCACUGAGUCCUAUCACAGUGGAGCGUUAGUGGGUUGUGUUAGUAAGUAAGAUGUGGAGGGUCAGCUUUCAGGGUCACUGAGCACCACAGGCCCUGCAAAGCUCCAGGGACACCAGCCCACAGGCUGGACUCUCCUUCAGUGGUUGUCUUUUCUUCAGUGUGUGUGUGUGUGUGUGUGUGUGUGUCUGUCUGUCUGUCUGUCUGCAAGCAAACACUGUGUGGUUGUUGGAUUAGGAAUGGCCCCCACAGAUUCAUGUGUUUGCAUGCUUGGCCCAUAGGCAUUUAUGUCACUAUUAGGGGGUGUGGCCUUGUUGGAGGAAGUAUGUCACUGUGGGGGUGGGUUUUGAGGUCUCCUGUACUUAAGCUAUGCCCUCUGUGGGUCAAGAUGUAGAACUUUCAGCUCCUCUAGCACCACGUCUGACUGGACACUGCCGUGCAUCUUGCCAUGAUGAUAAUAAACUAAGCCUCUGAAACU